rnacentral:rRNA from 1 species
UACGUAGGGUGCAAGCGUUAAUCGGAAUUACUGGGCGUAAAGCGUGCGCAGGCGGUUGUGCAAGACAGAUGUGAAAUCCCCGGGCUUAACCUGGGAAUUGCAUUUGUGACUGCACGGCUAGAGUGUGUCGGAGGGGGGUAGAAUUCCACGUGUAGCAGUGAAAUGCGUAGAUAUGUGGAGGAAUACCGAUGGCGAAGGCAGCCCCCUGGGAUAACACUGACGCUCAUGCACGAAAGCGUGGGGAGCAAACAGG